CGGGAAGCGUGGCGCCAAGCGGGCAGGGACACGACAGAGACUGGUCAACAAAGAAAGUACCUCUAAAAACAAACCAAAAACACUCCUAAAAAAUGGAAAUGCGAUAUGAGCUUUUAGCUCGCCAACCAAGGACGAAACCUGCGCCCCGCCAGCUGCAUUGGAAGCAUGGAGUCUUAACCCCUGAACUGCCCGCGAAGUCCGAG